AUUUCAACCGAUGGCAUGACCUAAAUAUGUUCCAAUAUCAUGUACCCAUGUAAUAAAAAAGAAUAUACCCACAAAACUCAAAUACAACUGAUGAAAUAUAGUCAAUGGACCAUAUCCUUUGAGUUAGUAAGAACAGUGUGGAAAGUAAAAGUUUUAAGUAAAGGACACAAGAGUUGCGCUGAAACCCCCUUGCUCAAGGGAGGAGAAAACUACGACAUGUCUCACUAGAUUUCAACACAACUCCAUUAACUUCAAAUAGCAGAACUUCAGA
rnacentral:misc_RNA from 1 species